CGGUUUUCCCUCUCUGGGGGAAUUCAAGCCCUGCCUGACAUAUAAGAGUUGUAAUUUGGACAUGGAAGGCCUCUGAGGGUCCUUCCAGUUGUGCUGUGCCAGGAUGUUUAUCCACAAGGUUGUUGCAUACACGGACAACAUCAGCUGAAGCUACAAACACUGCAGAGAACACUUCUGGUUUUAAACCCAUCACUGCACCCCAGAUGUCCACACCAGGAUAUGAAAUGUCCCAGCAUGUGGGAGAAGCAGGAAAAACUGGUCACCUUAUGGAUCUCAGCAGGAGACCCCACAGCCCCUCUGGGACACUGAUCCAUGCAUGGGGUGCUGUGAUGUCUUCCCUGUCUUCAGACCUAGUGUCUCGAAGUUCACCUGUAUGUCUUACCCUCCAGGCUGCUCACAGAAUGACCUUCCAAACCCAGAGGCACCGCUGGCAUGGAUGACAGUUCUAGCAUCUGAACCCUGCCCAAGACGGGGCUCCUCAGCAUCCUGAGCUGUCCUCAAAAUAACACCAGGCUGCGCACUCAGGACAUCUUGUGAAGGCCAAUCAAAAUAAUGCCAGUGGGAAUGCCUCGUCCCGAGGGAUCCCUCUAUAAACUUAAAGGAUGAUGGUUCAAAUGUUUCCGCAAUAAUGAAGGGACUCAAAAGGAACCUACACUCAAAACAGCUGGGGGAAAGUCCAGAAGUUCAAUUACACUCUGUUCACUUAUGGAAGGGCAGGAGAAAACCUCAUUUAUUUUAGCAUUUUAUGUGGUUUCUGCAAAGUUCUUCUCUGUACCAGGCGAAGAAAUAUAAUACUACCUCAUAUUUGCAAAGGGUUUUCCAGUUAACAAAAGACUUUUGCCACCUGCUGGGUUGUGAAUUCUACCGCUAGCCUGGGGUGCUGGCCGAGAGGGUGUGUCCUGGAGUUGAGUGUAGGCUGAAAGAGGAGGUGACUUUCCCAAGGCCACCAAGGUCCAGGCAGAUCCAGGGCUUUUGCCAUGACUGCUGGACAAUCCAAGCUCCUUGGUUUCUAGGAUGUUAAGAGCCAAGUUAAUGAGGCUUUAAAUGCCCAUAUUAAAAGAUGGUGACAGAAGAGGACAAAUUCAAUGUCAUAAUGCAUUUGAGGCCCUGAGAUCAUGAGAGUGAUAUUUGCCAGUCAGGGGUCUUCCUGAAAUCUCUGUCCUGCCGUCUCCCACUCUCUUCCUGCCUCCUCACCUGCUCCUCCCCAGCCACCAUUGCUGCUUCCUUCUCACCACCCCGAGCCCUGGACACUGAUGCCCUGGGCCUGGUCCGUGGACUUCCCUCCUCGAUGCUGACGCCUGGGUGCCCUCCUCAGGCUCCACACACCCUAGUCACUCCCAGUUGAUAAAUGGAAAUAAAAUCCUAAACCCCUCAACUGACCGAACAGACCCCCUCUUGGCCAAGGAGUCCCCAGGGAAACCUUGAAAACAGAGUUCCCAGCCAGGAAGAGACGGGAGGUCUGUUAUGCCAAAGUGUGUCCCUUCUUCAUUAACCUUUAACCAGAAUGCUUUCCUAAGGAGUAAGCAGAAACCAGCUCUCGAUGACUCUUUCCAAGGAACGGAUGACUCCUUCUUUCAUCACCUUUAGCCAGUCCUCUGAGUCUGCGCCUGAGCUCCUCUCCCUCUUUGCAGAUGUGACAGUUGGCCAGUUUCACAAUGCACCCCUUCCUGACGAGAGACCACCAGCCAUGGAGGGGCUCAGGCCAGUCUUCAGGGGAUGCCCAGUGACAGCUUCCGUGUGCUGUGGUUCACCUUUUGACAUUAGAGGGCCAAAAUCUCCACCUUCGGGUCACCUUAAUGCUGCCAGUUUUUGAACAUGUGAUCCCUGAAGAGUGCCUGUUUCCAGCUUAUGUCAGAGGCUACGCUUCCCAGCCUGUGGAUGGCCACUUGCAGGCUGCAGCCCUUUACGAGAAAGAAAGCUCUUCCAAAUCUCUGAACCUCAUGGUUCUUCAGUUGACACAGGAGAUCCCUGCAGCACUCCCCUCUGUCCUUGGCUGGGGGCUUUCACACCACUGGGCAUGUUUGUAGACUGGCAGGGCAAGCCCAUAUUGAGCCCAGAGCACUCAGCAAAUGGCCCAGGUGCCACCUGUGAGUCCCAAUCUUCUUUGCCCUAAGGGAGUCGGGCUGCUCCUCCCCCAUGGUUUCCCUUGCAGUGGCACCUUGGGGACCUUGGCUCUGGAGGGCAAGAGAUGAAGGAAGACCAGCCCCGGUGGACGGCGUGGGGAGAAAUUAAUCCAAAGGAAAAUGCCAUGAGUAAUCGGAUUUCCAGUGGAAAUGGAAGCGGCGCCUGAGUCAUUGAGAAGCUUCCCGAUUAGGAGCCAUCAGGCCCUGAUUCAUAUCAGACAUAAAGUGAUGCAAUUAGAAACCCUCACACCUAAUUACCCAUCAGAGCAAACGUGCCGUCGUGUGACACUGAGCCCACGGAGGUGUUGAAAGAGCCGUCACCCGAAGGAAACGAAAGCAUUGAGGGUCGUCUCUCAAGACAGAGCAUUUCAGAAACAGACCAUGGCCGGGGAAGGGGCCACAUGAGCUGCCAACAGCCCGGUGAGCACCCAGUAUUUCAGUCCUCUCUUCACUCAUUGAGCACAUCUGGCCCGACCAUGGGCUGCGGACAAGAUGUGAGAUUUUAGGAAAAAGAAUAAUUUUCCCUCGACCCAUCUGAGUUUUCAGCUGUGAUGCCUGUAACAAAAGAAAGAACAGCAAGAGAAAAAUAAACCCGGCUGAGUGGGGUGGCUCACGCCUGUAAUCCCAGCACUUUGGG
rnacentral:lncRNA from 1 species